rnacentral:rRNA from 1 species
UAACAAGGAUUCCCCUAGUAACUGCGAGUGAAGCGGGAAAAGCUCAAAUUUAAAAUCUGGCGGUCUUCGGCCGUCCGAGUUGUAAUCUGGAGAAGCGUCUUCCGCGCUGGACCGUGUACAAGUCUCUUGGAACAGAGCGUCAUAGAGGGUGAGAAUCCCGUCUUUGACACGGACUACCAGUGCUUUGUGAUGCGCUCUCGAUGAGUCGAGUUGUUUGGGAAUGCAGCUCAAAACGGGUGGUAAAUUCCAUCUAAAGCUAAAUAUUGGCGAGAGACCGAUAGCGAACAAGUACCGUGAGGGAAAGAUGAAAAGCACUUUGGAAAGAGAGUUAAACAGUACGUGAAAUUGCUGAAAGGGAAACGCUUGAAGUCAGUCGCGUUUGCUAGAACUCAGCCUUGCUUCUGUGAGGUGCAUUUUCUAGUGAACGGGCCAGCAUCAGUUUUGGCUGCCGGACAAAGGCCUCGGGAAUGUGGCACCUUCGGGUGUGUUAUAGCCCUUGGUCGUAUACGGUGGCUGGGACUGAGGAUCUCAGCACGCCUUCAUGGCGGGGGUUCGCCCACCUUC